GCAAAUUACCCACUCCCGGCACGGGGAGGUAGUGACGAAAAAUAACGAUACGGGACUCAUCCGAGGCCCCGUAAUCGGAAUGAGUAUACUCUAAAUCCUUAUACGAGUAUCAAUUGGAGGGCAAGUCUGGUGCCAGCAGCCGCGGUAAUUCCAGCUCCAAUAGCGUAUAUUAAAGUUGUUGCGGUUAAAAAGCUCGUAGUUGGAUCUGUGUCCCGCACCGUCGGUUCACCGCCUGUCGGUGUUCAACUGGCGUGUAUGCGGGACGUCCUGCCGGUGGCGGUCCGUCUCCCCGUUGGUACAUAGGGGUCGGCCUACGGCCCUGCCGUUAGUGUCCUCCCCGAAGUCCUUCGCGGCGAGUUCGGUCGCCUUUUCAAUCCCGUCGCGGUGCUCUUUACUGAGUGUCGAGGCGGGCCGGCACGUUUACUUUGAACAAAUUAGAGUGCUUUAAGCAGGCCCUGUCCCGCCUGUAUGUUGUGUGCAUGGAAUAAUGGAAUAGGACCUCGGUUCUAUUUUGUUGGUUUUCGGAAUCUGAGGUAAUGAUCAAUGGGGACUGGCGGGGGCAUUCGUAUUGCGACGUUAGAGGUGAAAUUCUUGGAUCGUCGCAAGACGGACCGAAGCGAAAGCAUUUGCCAAGUAUGUUCUCGUCGAUCAAGAACGAAAGUUAGAGGUUCGAAGGCGAUCAGAUACCGCCCUAGUUCUAACCAUAAACUAUGCCUGCCAGCGAUCCGCCGAAGUUCCUUAUAUGACUCGGCGGGCAGCUUCCGGGAAACCAAAGCUUUUGGGUUCCGGGGGAAGUAUGGUUGCAAAGCUGAAACUUAAAGGAAUUGACGGAAGGGCACCACCAGGAGUGGAGCCUGCGGCUUAAUUUGACUCAACACGGGAAAACUCACCAGGCCCGGACACCGGAAGGAUUGACAGAUUGAGAGCUCUUUCUUGAUUCGGUGGGUGGUGGUGCAUGGCCGUUCUUAGUUGGUGGAGCGAUUUGUCUGGUUAAUUCCGAUAACGAACGAGACUCUAGCCUACUAACUAGGCGUACCCGGUAUCCACAAUUGUGCUACCGGCGGUCAAAUUUCUUCUUAGAGGGACAGGCGGCGUCUAGCCGCACGAGACUGAGCAAUAACAGGUCUGUGAUGCCCUUAGAUGUCCUGGGCCGCACGCGCGCUACACUGAAGGAAUCAGCGUGUCAUCCUUGUCCGAAAGGACCGGGUAACCCGCUGAACCUCCUUUGUGCUAGGGAUUGGGGCUUGCAAUUGUUCCCCAUGAACGAGGAAUUCCCAGUAAGCGCGAGUCAUAAGCUCGCGUUGAUUACGUCCCUGCCCUUUGUACACACCGCCC
rnacentral:rRNA from 1 species